UACGGGGGGGGCAAGCGUUGUUCGGAAUUACUGGGCGGAAAGGGCUCGUAGGCGGCCAACUAAGUCAGACGUGAAAUCCCUCGGCUUAACCGGGGAACUGCGUCUGAUACUGGAUGGCUUGAGAUUGGGAGAGGGAUGCGGAAUUCCAGGUGUAGCGGUGAAAUGCGUAGAUAUCUGGAGGAACACCGGUGGCGAAGGCGGGUUGCUGGGCUGACACUGACGCUGAACUGCGAAAGCUAGGGGAGCGAACGGG
rnacentral:rRNA from 1 species